rnacentral:rRNA from 1 species
UACAGAGGGUGCGAACGUUGCUCGGAAUUACUGGGCGUAAAGCGCGUGUAGGCGGAUUGCUAAGUCGGGCGUGAAAGCCCCAGGCUCAACCUGGGAACUGCGCUCGAAACUGGCAGUCUCGAGUAUCGGAGAGGGCGGCGGAAUUCCUGGUGUAGAGGUGAAAUUCGUAGAUAUCAGGAGGAACACCGGUGGCGAAGGCGGCCGCCUGGACGAUUACUGACGCUGAGACGCGAAAGCGUGGGGAGCAAACAGG